rnacentral:misc_RNA from 1 species
UAGAAUUCGGAAGAAAGGAGGAGUAUCAGUCCGAAAAAUCGGAUAGAUGGCUCUGAUUCGGCAAACAAAUGCGCGGGUUUUAAAUUUUUACGCGCCAAUAUAGCAGACAGCUGACUGGUCACUGUAAAACUUCUUAGUCAUUGCUCCAGCCGUAGGAUAGUGCGAAUAUUGGCAAAUUUUAAAGGUAUGGAUUUUAAUGAAGAACAUUACCUAGCUCGAAUUCGACAAAAACUCCAAGAAAACGGAGUUAAACUAUGGCUGGCACCUUACUAUGCAGACCAGGCAACAAACAAAGAAAAACUUGAGGAGUUGGCCAUGCAUCUCUCUGACAUGCUUGCUAUACCAUGCAAUACUGUUUUAAAUAUGUUGAGCACACUUCAGCUUCAUGCACUUGAGAAGCUUGCAUCCAGGGCAUGUUUCCAAGAGACUGGGUUGGCAACUUUACGAAUCAAAAUUGUUGGAGGCAGUGGCCUUCAGAAGAACAUCACCAUGUAUUUAAAUGAAUCUGGUGAAUCAUUAAAAAAUAAGAUCAUAUCUGAAAUGAACUUCCCAGCUUCAACAAGGCUAAAAAUGAUUUGCAGUGGUCUAGUUCUGGAUGGUUCAACAAGUCUGCUAGCUCAAAGAGUUGCUAAUAACUCUCAGAUUCUUGCAAUUAUCCUUUCGUGUGAUCCAGAUUGCCAAAAGAUGGAAGAAAAGAUUAUCCAAGAAGUAGAGAUGAUUAAGGCUGAUGCAGACCUAUUGGCAAGUCAGCAAGAUGAAAACUAUCUAAGGAUUGCUGACCAGUCAGGAAAUAUUAUUGACCUGCCAUUUGAAGAAAAGAAAUCUUUAGCUGUUGCUAUGGCAUUACAUGAAAAAGGUCGUUCUGCCCUAAAACGAAAUCAGGUCUCGCUUGCCUUAACGUUAUUUCACGAGGCUGAUGCUAAAUUCAAUGCCUGUAGGUCUGAAUUACUGAAAGCGGUAGACAAUGCCGCCCUAUUAAAUCUGGACAUUGCAUGGUGUUAUCUGCUACUUGGUAAUGCAGCCGAUAUCCCCGACGCAGUUGUCCGAUUAAACCAAUGCGAACAGUCUCUAUAUAAAACCUAUGGCGCACAAAUGGAACGUCUCCUGACCCUAAAAGGAACUACAGGCAAUGAAGCCGUGCUAUUUUUACGACUUCACCUUCUCCAGGGAGCAGUGGCUUUUCAUCAAGGAAAGACACUAGAAUCAAUUAAGCUACUGAAUCAAGCGAACGAAGAGUUACAGAAACUCACCAUCAAUGACGGCGAUUUAACCCACUUAAUCAGUUUAGGGUAUUCUUUGUCUGAUGCCCGGCUUGGUUUGCGGGCAUGUCGAGGUGAUUUGAAUGCGGCUUGCAUAUAUUUACAACGCCGCGAAAUGGAAAGACAAGAGCGCAAAAAGAAGGAAGAAGAGGAAGAAGAGCGAAACCGUGAAAGAAAGAAACUAGGAAAAACAGCCAAUAAUCAAUGGGUUAAUCUUGGUUAUCUCAACACCGUAGUCGAAAUGGGAUUUGAUCGUUCACGGGCUGCUGAAGGCCUGAGGCAAACAAACAACGAUAUUAGUCGGACGUUAGAGUUUUUGCAAUCCGAGAGUGAAUCGUAUAGGUCUCAAGCUUCUAACGGGCGAUAUAACGAAGAAUCCCUUGCACAGGUGGUCUCAAUGGGAUUUAGUGUGGAACGUGCCAAGGAAAUGCUUGAAAAGCACAAUGGGGAUGUUGAACUAGCAGUUGAAGACUUGGCAUCAAACCUCGGCCGACCUGAUGAUCAAGCGGUAGCAAGUUCGUCCAGCGAAGAAGCUUCUAGAAAACAAAAAGAAGCCACGAAAAGAGAAAAGGAAGCUUACAAAAGACUUGCCAAAGAUAUUCCUCGAUCGGAAGAAGAUCAUUUGGAUUCUGGCCUUGAAUUAGAAGCAGAGUAUCUGCAUAAAUGUCGUUAACACGCGAACACAAUUUCUAGAAGCAUCGCCCUUGGGAGUGUGCAAAUGUUUCCUACUUGAACGAUUUCACAACAUCCUCCUCAAAAGUCAAAUGAGCUUAUCCGGUUUUAAUUUUAAUUUCAGACACUUUUCCCUAUUAUUUGUUGUUCCAUUUAUUUAGCGUCGGAUAUCAUCCGUUGCGAAAUACUGGGUUUUUUAUUAACCUAUCCGUGCUGGUACGAUCAGACGUGACACAUCUAAGAGAAAACAACAGCUGGCUCAUGUUUUUCACUUUAAUUACCGAUUCCUGGGGACCUCGUUUUACAUUUGUAGCUCACUACGUCAGACAGUACUCCAAGUCGUUCGGACAACGGAAAAGCAGGGUUAUCGAAUGUCUUGGCUGGUCUUGUCUACGGGUUCACUUGACUUAGCAACUGAAGAUAUGUCUUUUCAAUUGCGCAGUAAAUAAGUUUCAAAAGAUUUUGUUAAAAAUCUGCUUCAUGCGAUUCAACUAAAGCAACUUCUGAUGAUGUGGUAUCAUUUCUCCGAAUAUUCCCAUGUCACGCACCGAUGGAACACGAGUAGUUGUUUGCGGAUUGGCGUCCCCAUUUCCAUGCGUUGCAGCCUUGCCGAAGAGAUUAAAACAUGAUAGAACAUUAGCCUUUGACACAGCAGAAGUUCAGCCGACACUUCUUGCGUGUGCCACAUUGGCAAAUGCCAGGGUUGCCAAAAGAGGAGUAGCCAAGUAACCGACUUCAAAACUAUUACCCAAUCCAGGAAGUCACGGCCGUUUUUUUUGGGGGGGGAGUGAUGGGCAUUGCAAACAUGACCGUUCCUUUUUCUUUCUUAAUCGGCGCUAAAGUCUGCUAUAAAAAGCCGCAACAGCCUUUCUAGGAAAACGACACGAUCACGUGCAAAAAGAUGAGUCAUCCCGCAAACUUAUGUUUCGACGGAGACCGUGAAAACAAUAAUAACGGUUGCCAAAUAAUUCAUGAAAAAGGAAUGAAAACAUCCUGAUAUUUUGGGAUUUCCCUCCACCUCGAUUGGGAAAGAAUGAAGCCCGUGGUGAUUUCUGACGUCUAUCGAAUUAUCCCACUCGUCCUCUUUGUGCCCUUGAACGUUAACGUGGGUCGUAUAACCGUGACGACAAUUCCUUUCUUUCGCCUCUCGCGCUGCGUGGCAUUAUUAAAAGGAAAAAGAAGAAGAAGAAAGGUAAUAAAAAAAUAUAUAUUUAUUUCAACAGCCAUAGGAGUCACGAGAAGGUGUUGGAUGGUGUUCAGACUACCGAACGGAAAAGAGGAAGAGAGGAAUAAAAUAAAUAAAUAACUCUACUAACGGUAUUUGUUGUUUGUCAAGGUCAUGAACCUUUCCCCGAACAACGAAAGCCAUUUUCUUCUCCCAGCGGUUUCGUUUUCCAUUUGCUUUUAAAUGGACGACGAAAAGGCAGGGCAAAUUGAAUUUGUGCGUUCAGCGUCAGUCAUGCCUGAUGUUUUCGUGAUCCGACCGUACCGUUAAUCCCCGAGCCCGUCACGUUGUACUGCAUCAUUUUAUGUUGUCCUCCAUUUUGUUUGUUUUUCUUCUUAUCUUUCGUUUUUCAGCCGCAAUGAGUGGAAUCGGAUGCGACCGAAAGGACGAGGAGGAUUGACACAUGUGUUCGUGAGCAUUGAUCCCUCCCAAUGGAGCCCUGCGGGAUGAAGAAAAAGAAGCAUUUGACGAGGAGGAGGAAGGUGGGGUUUUCUUUUAAAAGAGGGGGUCCUUACUCCCGCCACCUAUUUAAAGCCCCAGAAGGUUCCAGUGUACUCGUCACUGGCCGUUCAACUGGUCGACAGUAAAGACGUUGCUUGGCUAUCGCUGGCAUAUUUUCAUUUGUUAUCGUUUGAAGCGUUUCAUUGCUCAAACUACAACAAAGAAUUGGUUUUUGUUUUUUUUUCUUUGACAAAAACAACAGGCGCUUAAAA